rnacentral:snRNA from 1 species
CUACUUCAGCAGCACAUAUACUGAAAUUGGAACGAUACAUUGAUUAGCAUGGCUCCUGCGCAAGGAUGCCACGCAAAAUCAUGAAGCGUUCUUAAUUUUU